GACGAACGCUGGCGGCGUGCCUAACACAUGCAAGUCGAGCGGGAACCUCGGGAGGGGUAACCCUUCCGUGGGGAGAGCGGCGAACGGGUGAGUAACACGUGGGCAACCUGCCCCGGACACCGGGAUAACCCAGGUAAACCUGAGCUAAUACCGGAUACUCCCGCGUGAACGCAUCGUCGCGCCGGGCAAGCCCCUACGUUCCAUGAAGGGCCCGCGGCCUAUCAGCUUGUUGGUGGGGUAACGGCCCACCAAGGCGACGACGGGUCAGCCGGCAUGGGAGGGUGACCGGCCACACUGGGACUGAGACACGGCCCAGACUCCUACGGGAGGCAGCAGUGGGGAAUAUUGCACAAUGGGCGCAAGCCUGAUGCAGCAACGCCGCGUGAGUGAUGAAGGUUUUCGGAUCGUAAAACUCUGUUGUUAGGGAAGAACACCCGGGAGAGGAUCCCGGUUUGACGGUACCUGACGAGAAAGCCCCGGCUAACUACGCGCCAGCCGCCGCCGUAA
rnacentral:rRNA from 1 species